rnacentral:tRNA from 1 species
UCCCUUGUAGCUAAUUUGGUAAAGAGUCUGCCUGCAAUGCAGGAGACCCGGGUUCGAUCCCUGGGUUGGGAA